rnacentral:rRNA from 1 species
AUGAACGCUAGCUACAGGCUUAACACAUGCAAGUCGAGGGGAAACGACAUCGAAAGCUUGCUUUUGAUGGGCGUCGACCGGCGCACGGGUGAGUAACGCGUAUCCAACCUGCCCAUCACUUGGGGAUAACCUUGCGAAAGUAAGACUAAUACCCAAUGAUAUCUCUAGAAGACAUCUGAAAGAGAUUAAAGAUUUAUCGGUGAUGGAUGGGGAUGCGUCUGAUUAGCUUGUUGGCGGGGUAACGGCCCACCAAGGCGACGAUCAGUAGGGGUUCUGAGAGGAAGGUCCCCCACAUUGGAACUGAGACACGGUCCAAACUCCUACGGGAGGCAGCAGUGAGGAAUAUUGGUCAAUGGGCGAGAGCCUGAACCAGCCAAGUAGCGUGCAGGAAGACGGCCCUAUGGGUUGUAAACUGCUUUUAUAAGGGAAUAAAGUGAGUCUCGUGAGACUUUUUGCAUGUACCUUAUGAAUAAGGACCGGCUAAUUCCGUGCCAGCAGCCGCGGUAAUACGGAAGGUCCGGGCGUUAUCCGGAUUUAUUGGGUUUAAAGGGAGCGUAGGCCGGAGAUUAAGCGUGUUGUGAAAUGUAGACGCUCAACGUCUGCACUGCAGCGCGAACUGGUUUCCUUGAGUACGCACAAAGUGGGCGGAAUUCGUGGUGUAGCGGUGAAAUGCUUAGAUAUCACGAAGAACUCCGAUUGCGAAGGCAGCUCACUGGAGCGCAACUGACGCUGAAGCUCGAAAGUGCGGGUAUCGAACAGGAUUAGAUACCCUGGUAGUCCGCACGGUAAACGAUGGAUGCCCGCUGUUGGUCUGAAUAGGUCAGCGGCCAAGCGAAAGCAUUAAGCAUCCCACCUGGGGAGUACGCCGGCAACGGUGAAACUCAAAGGAAUUGACGGGGGCCCGCACAAGCGGUGGAGCAUGUGGUUUAAUUCGAAGCAACGCGAAGAACCUUACCAGGUCUUGACAUCGAUCUAAAAGGGAUGGAGACAUCCUCAUAGCUAUAGAGAAGACAGGUGGUGCAUGGUUGUCGUCAGCUCGUGCCGUGAGGUGUCGGCUUAAGUGCCAUAACGAGCACAACCCCUCUCCUUAGUUGCCAUCAGUUGAAGCUGGGCACUCUGGGGACACUGCCACCGUAAGGUGUGAGGAAGGUGGGGAUGACGUCAAAUCAGCACGGCCCUUACGUCCGGGGCUACACACGUGUUACAAUGGCAGGUACAGAGAGACGGUUGUACGCAAGUACGAUCAAAUCCUUAAAGCCUGUCUCAGUUCGGACUGGGGUCUGCAACCCGACCCCACGAAGCUGGAUUCGCUAGUAAUCGCGCAUCAGCCAUGGCGCGGUGAAUACGUUCCCGGGCCUUGUACACACCGCCCGUCAAGCCAUGAAAGCCGGGGGCGCCUAAAGUCCGUGACCGUAAGGAGCGGCCUAGGGCGAAACUGGUAAUUGGGGCU